GACGAACGCUGGCGGCGUGCCUAAUACAUGCAAGUCGAACGCACUCUCGUUUAGAUUGAAGGAGCUUGCUCCUGAUUGAUAAACAUUUGAGUGAGUGGCGGACGGGUGAGUAACACGUGGGUAACCUGCCCUAAAGUGGGGGAUAACAUUUGGAAACAGAUGCUAAUACCGCAUAAAACCUAACACCGCAUGGUGUAGGGUUGAAAGAUGGUUUCGGCUAUCACUUUAGGAUGGACCCGCGGUGCAUUAGUUAGUUGGUGAGGUAAAGGCUCACCAAGACCGUGAUGCAUAGCCGACCUGAGAGGGUAAUCGGCCACACUGGGACUGAGACACGGCCCAGACUCCUACGGGAGCAGCAGUAGGGAAUCUUCCACAAUGGACGAAAGUCUGAUGGAGCAACGCCGCGUGAGUGAAGAAGUUUUCGGAUCGUAAAACUCUGUUGUUGGAGAAGAAUGUAUCUGAUAGUAACUGAUCAGGUAGUGACGGUAUACAACCAGAAA
rnacentral:rRNA from 1 species